AGAGUUUGAUCAUGGCUCAGGAUUAACGCUGGCGGUAUGCCUAACACAUGCAAGUCGAACGGAAUACUAAUUAAGAGAAUCUCACACUAGUGAGAGGUUCUCACGAGUAGUAUUUAGUGGCGGACGGGUGAGUAACACGUUGGAACCUGCCCCGAAGUGGGGAAUAACUGCUCGAAAGAGUAGCUAAUACCCCAUAGUAUCCGGUUUAUCCGGAUUAAAGAUUUAUCGCUUCGGGAGGGGCCUGCGUCUGAUUAGCUAGUUGGUGAGGUAAAAGCUCACCAAGGCGACGAUCAGUAGCUGGUUCGAGAGGAUGACCAGCCACACUGGGACUGAGAUACGGCCCAGACUCCUACGGGAGGCAGCAGUGAGGAAUCUUCCACAAUGGGCGCAAGCCUGAUGGAGCAAUACCGCGUGCAGGAAGACGCCUUUCGGAGUGUAAACUGCUUUUGUCGUCGAAGAUUAUGACUGUAGACGAAGAAUAAGGACCGGCUAACUACGUG
rnacentral:rRNA from 1 species